rnacentral:rRNA from 1 species
GCACCCUUUGGGCAUUCCGAAGGGUAUGCUCGUUUGAGUGUCAUUGUACUCUCACACUGCCAAUGGCUUGCUUGCAAUUGGGAGCGGUGGACUUGGGUGCUGCUGCUUCAGUGUGGCUCACCUGAAAUAUGGUAGUGCAUCUCUUGAUUAGACAUAGUACGGCGUGAUAAGUGUCUUCGCUGGCUCCUCGCAAGAGGGUGGCUGAUCAGGAGCUCUGCUGCUUUCCAACUGUCUUCGGACACUUCUGACAACUUGACCUCAAAUCGAGUAGGACUACCCGCUGAACUUAAGCAUAUCAAUAAGCGGAGG